UGGUUCCGGCAUCGAUGAAGAACGCAGCGAAAUGCGAUAAGUAAUGUGAAUUGCAGAAUUCAGUGAAUCAUCGAAUCUUUGAACGCACAUUGCGCCCCUUGGUAUUCCGAGGGGCAUGCCUGUCCGAGCGUCAUUUCACCAAUCGAGCCCCGCUCGGUGUUGGGCGCGCGGCCGGGGAGCCCCCCCCCAGUGGGGACCCCCCGGCCCGCCCGAAAUGCAUCGGCGAGGACACCGACCCCGGCGUGUUGAGAAUCCCACGGUUCGUACGCCCGGAGCACCGGUGGCCCUCCGCCGCGACCUCCACACCAGGUUGACCUCGGAUCAGGUAGGGAUACCCGCUGA
rnacentral:misc_RNA from 1 species